rnacentral:rRNA from 1 species
GACGAACGCUGGCGGCGUGCCUAAUACAUGCAAGUUGAGCGCUGAAGGUUGGUACUUGUACCAACUGGAUGAGCAGCGAACGGGUGAGUAACGCGUGGGGAAUCUGCCUUUGAGCGGGGGACAACAUUUGGAAACGAAUGCUAAUACCGCAUAAAAACUUUAAACACAAGUUUUAAGUUUGAAAGAUGCAAUUGCAUCACUCAAAGAUGAUCCCGCGUUGUAUUAGCUAGUUGGUGAGGUAAAGGCUCACCAAGGCGAUGAUACAUAGCCGACCUGAGAGGGGGAUACGCCACAAUUGGACUGAGACACGGCCCAAACUCCUACGGGAGGCAGCAGUAGGGAAUCUUCGGCAAUGGACGAAAGUCUGACCGAGCAACGCCGCGUGAGUGAAGAAGGUUUUCGGAUCGUAAAACUCUGUUGGUAGAGAAGAACGUUGGUGAGAGUGGAAAGCUCAUCAAGUGACGGUAACUACCCAGAAAGGGACGGCUAACUACGUG